rnacentral:rRNA from 1 species
GACGAACGCUGGCGGCGUGCUUAACACAUGCAAGUCGAACGGACAGGCCCUGCGUUUGUUGGGUGCUCGAUUGGCGCACGCGUGAGUAACACGUGAGUAUCCUGUCCUUGUCUUUCGGGUAUCUUUAGGGAACUCGGGCGAUUACCCGAUAGGAGCUCCUGCUGCAUGGUGUUGGAUGGAAAGUUUCGGCGGUUGGGGAUGGACUCGCUGCUUAUCAGCUUGUUGGUGUGGUAGUGGAUUACCAAGGCUUAGACGGGUAGCCGGCCUGAGAGGGUGACCGGCGACAUUGCGACUGAGAUACGGCGCAGAAUGCUACGGGAGGCAGCAGGGGGGAAUAUUGCACAAUGGGGGGAAGCCUGAUGCAGCAACGCCGCGUGCGGGAUGACGGGCUUCGGGUUGUAAACAGCUUUCGACUGUGACGAAGAGUGAGUGACGGUACUGGGUAAAGAAGCACCGGCUAACUACGUG